CCCUCUCUCUCUCUCUCUUACAUAAUGAAGCCUCGUGCACAUAGAGGAAGAGGCUUCACACACACACAUACUCAACUAUCUCUCCAUCGCUACUAUUUCCCACACUGUUUCAUUUUUGCAUCCAAACCCUAACAUAACACGAGCGAGUGCUGAGAUUGUCACCGGCACCAACACCACCACCACCUCCACCUCCACCACCACCACCACCACCACCACCACCACUACUACUACUACUACUAAUAAUAAUACUAAUAUAAUAGUAGUAGUAUUAUCAGCAUCAUCAGCACCACCUUAAUAUUGCAUUUGUUCCUCAACAUAGGAAUUGUUCUCCUAUAUUCUGUCACAAGAGUUAAGAGAAGCAAGAAACAUGAAGUCUUGGAGAAUAUUAUGUUUCGUUAUAUUGUUGAUCACGAUGACUGCAGCAGAUGAUCAGUUGCUGUGCUGUAUGAAAGGUGUAAAAAGAAUGAGAAAAGCUGUGUUCUGUUCUGAACCAUGUUGUUCAGGCUACAUUGAACGCGUUGAAAAUCCUCCACUGCUGGGUCUUGUGGUCUUUUGUGAGAAGCUGGAGCCUUCCCUUCCAUUGUAGCCAUCGGAUAGUUUCAAGUUUCGUAUUGACGGGGAGUGGCGGGGCAAACCCAGAUACUGUGCAUGAUGGGAAAACGGUCUAACAUGUGGAAUAUGCGUUACCUUAAUAGUUCUGUUCAUAGCCAUGGCUGUUGUUGUAUAUAAACCGUACCAUGGUUCUGACAAGUCAACAUCUCGAAUUCCUCACAGAUCAAUGGAACCUCUAGCAACUUUCGUUAACACUGUAUUUAAUCUGAAUAAUGCACUCUAACCUUGGUAAUCUUCACAGCUGUCAUAGAUGACCAACACCAGUAAUUAUUUUACAUUCUAUAUACACUGAAGCAAUAAACUAUGUAGAGUAGUGAGUUGGCUCUGAGUUAAAAACUCAACAGUUCAUAAUUAUGUUCCCAUCAAUUCCUUAAUGUACUUCGUUGCUAUUAUGCAAAAGUGUCGUAAGUUCAAAACGUUGCUUUGUCAGAAAACGAAAAAAUAGUUCGUGAAGUAUUUGCCACUUAAAUGUGGCUAACCCCUAAGGGUGGAUGCUACUGCAGCUUGUAGCCCCAGGAGGACAUCUCCUCCAGCUGGCUAUUAACACACUUUCUGUGCCCUAUCAAUAUUUACAAAGGGAAGCCACCCUUCCCAUCUUCAACCUGUAUGAUACAGCUGUCAUAGUUUCAACAUUCCAUAGCAAAACCGUUGUACUACACUUUGAUAAUUUUUUAUAUCUUGGUAUCUGAAGCAGCUGGAGAUACCGUAGAUUGACCAAAAGAACCGGCUAUAGCAAGCAAAAAUAAAUAUUGAAAAAAACGCAUUUGGCCAAAUUUGGACAUACGACAAUUUAACAUAAUAGCAACGACUUAAUGUUUGAGGGAGAUGCAUAGACAUCACAAUUCUCAUUUCAAAUUUUUUUUCAAUAAUAUUAUUUCAAACAAGUUCUUCAUCCUUGGAGAAAUUAACAAGAAUCACCAUCAUAUAUUAUGUUAUGGGUAACGCUCAGAAAUCGAUGAACUAUUGAAAUAAAUAAAAACAAAUAGCGACAAACAGAUAUACAGGUAGGCAGAUAGAAACUGACAGACAGUAUCUAACUACAUUCUGUCAUGUAUGCAUGUACUUUAUUCAGCAAUUUAAUCAUAUGUAAUAAAUGUCUAAUAGACAAAA